GUGAAAAUAGAAAAGGGCCUCUUUACAUGGGAUCCUAAUAAUAAUUUUAGAUUAUGCAUACCAAAACUUGAGAUUCCUAGAGGGUCUUUUGUAGCAGUUGUUGGUCUUGAAGGAUGUGGGAAGACAUCUCUAAUGUCUGCGAUACUGGGAGAAAUGGAGUGUCUUCAAGGUCACAUUCAGACUUCUGAUGCUAUAGCCUAUGUUCCUCAAACUGCCGGGAUCCAGCAAUGCUCUUUAGAAGAUAAAAUUCUAUUCGGUGCUCAUUUAAACAACAACAUUUUCCACACCAUUCUUGAAG